rnacentral:rRNA from 1 species
UCGACCGCCUGGGGAGUACGGCCGCAAGGUUAAAACUCAAAUGAAUUGACGGGGGCCCGCACAAGCGGUGGAGCAUGUGGUUUAAUUCGAUGCAACGCGAAGAACCUUACCUGGUCCUGACCAUCACGGAAGUUUUCAGAGAUGAGAAUGUGCCUUCGGGAACCGUGAGACAGGUGCUGCAUGGCUGUCAUCAGCUCGUGUUGUGAAAUGUUGGGUUAAGUCCCGCAACGAGCGCAACCCUUAUCCUUUGUUGCCAGCGGUCCGGCCGGGAACUCAAAGGAGACUGCCAGUGAUAAACUGGAGGAAGGUGGGGAUGACGUCAAGUCAUCAUGGCCCUUACGACCAGGGCUACACACGUGCUACAAUGGCGCAUACAAAGAGAAGCGACCUCGCGAGAGCAAGCGGACCUCAUAAAGUGCGUCGUAGUCCGGAUUGGAGUCUGCAACUCGACUCCAUGAAGUCGGAAUCGCUAGUAAUCGUGGAUCAGAAUGCCACGGUAAAUACGUUCCCGGGCCUUGUACACACCGCCCGUCACAC